AUAUUCGUCAGGCAUAUUCGC
rnacentral:siRNA from 1 species